UCCAGGUGGCCCAAAGACUCUGGAGUGG
rnacentral:piRNA from 1 species